AGUCUUGGCCCCACCGGUCACGACCCCGCUCACGGAGUCUGCGCAGGCGCCGUCGCGGGGCGUGGAGAAGCUGCUCCCUUGGGAUAAGGCCCGCGGGGAAUACUUGGAACCUUGACACCGCUGUAGUCUGCUCUCGCCGCGCUGGGUUUUAGGAGCCGUAACGACAAUAAUCGUGUCCACCAUUCUCACUACAGGCCCCGAAGCACGUAGGUGCCGUUUUUUAUCCCAACUUAACUGAAGAAAAAAAAAACACGGCCGGGCGCGGUGGCUCAAGCCUGUAAUCCCAGCACGUUGGGAGGCCAAGGCGGGCAGAUUACAUGAGACCAGGCGUUCAAGACCAGCCUGGCCAACAUGGUGAAACCUCGUCUCUACUAAAAAUACAAAUAUAUUAGCCGGGCGUGGUGGCGGGCGCCUGUAAUCCUAGCUGCUUGGGAGGCUGAGGCAGAGAAUUGCUUGAACCCUGGAGGCGGAGGUUGCAGUGAGUGGAGAUGGCGCCACUGCACUCCCGUCUGGGGGAGAGAGAGAGAGAGACUCUUGUCUCAAAAAAAAAAAAAGGACUUGUCCUCCAAUGUCAAUAACAACAAACUAGACAAAUAAAACUUCGAGGGCAUUAAGGCAAUAUGGUGUUAUGCCACAAACAGAAGGCACAGCUAACGGCCAGUAGCUGAGACGCCACCUCUGCCACAGGUCAGCUAUGUGACCCACGUGCAAAUCUCAUCACUUCCUGUCUGGUUCUGCUUCUGUGGAUGUAGAAUGGGGCAAUCAAUGGCUGUCUUGCUCAAUUGGCCAGACAUUUAAUGUGUCAACCACCCAGGCCCAACAUGUUGUGAGUUCAUGUACACCGACCAUUUUGCUAUUUCUUUUCUAUAUGUCACUUUUUUUUUUUUUUUGGUUGUUUUUUGAUACAGGGUCUUGUGUCACCCAGGCUGGAGUGCAAUGGCGCAAUCAUAGCACACUGAAGCCUUGACAACCCCAGCUCAAGCGAUCCACCCCCGUCAGCCUCCCAAGUAGUAGGCAACACAGAUGUGUGCGACUACGCCCAGCUAAUUUUUUUUUUUUGUGGAGACAAGGUCUCUCCAUGUUGCCUAGGCUGGUCUUGAACUCCUGGGCUCAAGCGAUCUUCCCCCUUCGACCUCCCAAAGCGUUAGGAUUAUGUAAAAGCAUGAGUCACUGCGCCCACCUGUCACAUCUUUUUGUUUCUUCUAUACUGCCUUAUUUUGUAGAAAGUAGCUAUUUUCUCGUAUAACAUUAAUUCCUUUAUUUUUAACUUGUCCCUCAUCUCUGUUUUGUGUUAUUAUUACCCUUAUUAUCUAUGUUACAAACCCAACCAUACAGUGUUAAUCUUGUUUUAAAAAGCUGAGAAAAAAUAUAUAGUUACAGAGUUUUUUUAACCUUCUAAUUUGCCACUUAUACUUCUGUUGAUUCCUUUGUGUAGAUUAGAGUUACACAAUUUAUUGCUAAAGAAAAUAAAUAUGGUCAAAAGUCACCAGUGUCCUCAUUCACUGUAGCUUGCUGCAACAGAAUUUACCCUACACUUCCAUAAGACAUCUGACAUUUGCACAGGGCUUCAUAAGGUCCAAAGUACUUUCGUUGUCUGUGGUUUAAUCUCACAAAACCCAUAGUCCUUUGUGAGCAAAUGCAAGGCAGUGUCUUACUGACCAGAAAACCACCCUGGAUUAACAAAAGAAUGCCUCCUUUCCUCUUCACUUUCUGAGCAACUGGGGCCCUGCUCUGGCAGCAGAAUGUUCUCUUUUUUAUUUUUUGUAGAGAUGGGAUCUCACUGUGCUGCCCAGGCUGGUCUUGAACUCCUGGCCUCAAGUGAUCCUCCUGCUCUGGACUCCGAGAGUCCUGGGAUCACAAGUCUGAGCCACUGCAGCUGGCCCAGAACGUUCUUCUGAAACAAUUAUAAAUUUGUUUCAAAAUACACUAGGCCUUUCGGGUCAGGCUGUACUACUUUUCAUAGGUUAGGUCAGCCCUAACUCGUCCACACCAACUUGUAUCUGAGUUUUCCAUAGCCACUUUUUUUUUUUUUUUUCUUUGAGAUGGAGUCUCACUCUAUCGCCCAGGCUGGAGUGCAGUGGCACCAGGUCGGCUCACUGCAACCUCCGUCUCUUGGAUUCAAGCAAUUCUCCUGCCUCAGCCUCCCAAGUAGCUGGGAUUACAGGUGCCCACCACCACGCCUGGCUAAUUUUUAUAUUUUUAGUAGAGAUAGGGUUUCACCAUGUUGGCCAGGCUGGUCUCAAACUCCUGACCUAAGGUGAUCCACCCGCCUCGGCCUCCCAAAGUGCUAGGACUACAGGCAUGAGCCACCACGCCCAGCCUCUUGGCCACUUUUUAUACCAAGAUCAAGUUGCUCGGGGUUUGAGGAGGGAAUGGGGCAGAGGAAUAUAUAUGUGUCAUGUGCUGUGACAGUGGUCCCAGAAAAUUAUGAUACUGUUUUUAUUGUACUGUUUCUUUUCUUUGACAGAGUCUUGCCCUGUCACCCAGGCUGGAGUGCAGUGGCACCAUCUUGGCUCACUACAACCUCCACCUCCUGGGUUCAAACAAUUCUCAUGCCUCUGCCUCCCAAGUAGUUGGGAUUACAGGCGUGUGCCACCAUGUCUGGCUAAUUUUUGUAUUUUUUGUAGUGAUGGGGUUUUCCCAUGGUGGCCAGGCUGGUCUCGAACUCCUGACCUCAAGUGAUCUGCCUGCCUUGGCCUCCCAAAGUGUUGGGAUUAAAGGCGUAAGCCACCAGUCCCGGCCCACUAUACUUUUUCUAUGUUUGGGUAAAUUUAGAUACACAAAUACCACUGUGUUACAGUUGCCUAAGAUAUUUAGUAUAGUAACAUGCUGUACUGGUUUGUAGCCUAGGAGCAAUAGGCUAUACCAUAUACUAUAUAGCAAUAGCCUAGGCGUGGUAGUAGGCUAUACUGUCUAGGUUUGUGUGAGUGUACGCUAUGGAUGUUCACACAACACUGGUAUCACCUAACAAUGUUAUUUCUCAGAACGUGUCGCUGUGAUGCAUGGCCAUGUAUUUCCUCAAUAUUAACCCUUCCUUGCAGCCAGAGAGAACUAAUGCUUAUUAAUUUUGAUUUUUUUUUUUUUUUUCCGAGACGGAGUCUUGCUCUGUUGCCCAGGCUGGAGUGCAGUGGUGCAACCUCAGCUCACUGCAACCUCUGCCUCCCAGGUUCAAAAGAUUCUUCUGCCUCAGUCUCCCAAGUAGCUGGGACUAUAGAUGUACACCACCAUGCCCAGCUAAUUUUUGGAUUUUUUUUUUCUUGAGACGGAGUUUCACUCUUGUUGCCCAGGCUGGAGUGCAAUGGCACGACCUCGGCUCACCGCAACCUCCGCCUCCUGGGUUCAAGCGAUUCUCCUGCCUCAGUCUCCCCGAGUAGCUGGGAUUACAGGCACAUGCCACCACACCUGGCUAGUUUUGUAUUUUUAGUAGAGACGGGGUUUCUCCAUGUUGGUCAGGCUGGUCUCAAACUCCCAACCUCAGGUGAUCUGCCCACCUCAGCCUCCCAAAGUCCUGGGAUUACAGGCGUGAGCCACCACAUCCAGCCUAAUUUUUGUGUUUUUAGUAGAGAUGGGGUUUCACCAUGUUGGCAGUGCUUAUUAAUUUUGAAAGCUUGCAAGCUUUUACUUACAAAACAGGACAUGCCUAACAACACAAGAUAGCAGAUUAUGCAGAAGAAAAGGGCAGGCCCUUGGCCUGGGUACUCUGGACAGUGGUGUUUCUGUUCUUGGAGACUGUAUCAUCACCACAGAAUGGGCUUUCUAGAAAUGGGCAUUCAUCCCUUGCAUCAGAUAAAGCAGUGUAUAUUCUCAUCUCCCCAGGCCAGCUAAAGAAUGUUCUUGAGGCAUCAGGCGCGGUAAUUCUCACCUGUAAUCCCAGCACUUUGGGAGGCUAAGGUGAGAGGAUUGCUUAAGUCCAGGAGUUGGAGAUCAGCCUGGGCAACAUAGUGAGAUGUCAACUCUACAAAAAAUAAAAUACAAAAAACAUUAGCUGGGCAUGGUAGUGCAUGCCUGUAGUCCUAGCUACUUGGAGGGCUUAGGCAGGAGGAUCACUUGAGCCCAGAAGGUUGAGGCUACAGUGAUACAGUGAGCUAAGGUUGUGCCACUGUACUCCAGCCUGGGGGACAGAGCAAGACCCUGUCUCUAAAAAAACCAAAAAGAAAAAGAAUAUUUCAAAUCUGCCCUAACUGCUCUCCUUCAGUUUCCCAAUUGGUGCAGGUACCUGGAACUAAAUCAAAACAAAGGUUGGGGGCUCUAUGCAAACAGUCCUCACAGGAUAGGAAGCUCCAGGAAGGGUGAGUGAUGGAGAGGGGUGGGCACCUCUGGGCAGCAGCCCCCUGCCCAGGGCACCUCAGUCACAGGGUGGGAGCACUGUGCAGAGAAGGGGUCCCUGAGGGUAGGAAAGAUUCACCUGCAGCUUCCACACCUUCAGGGCAGAUGCGACAGCUCACUACAGCCAAACAAAACUGAGGUCACAACUCUUGCAGAGCACUGUUGAUAUUCACAAUAGCCAAAAAGCAGAAACAACCCAAAUGUCCAUCAACCGAUGAAUGGAUAUUUUAAAAAUGUGAUCCAUCCAAACAGUAGAGUAUUAUGUGGCUAUAAAAAGUAAUGAAGCACCACCGGACACGGUGGCUCAUGCCUGUAAUCCCAGCACUUUGGGAGGCCAAGGCAGGUGGAUCACCUGAGGUCAGGAGUUCAAGACCAGCCUGACUAACAUGGUGAAACCCCCGUCUCUACCAAAAAUACAAAAAAAUUAGCUGGGCAUGGUGGUGUAUGCCUGUAAUCCCAGCUACUCGGGAGGCUGAGGCAGGAGAAUUGCUUGAACCCAGGAUACAGAGGUUGCAGUGAGCCAAGAUUGCGCCACUGCACUUCAGCCUGGGAGACGAGCGAAACUCCAUGUCAAAAAAAAAAAGUAAUGAAGUACUGAUACAUGCCACGACACAGGUGAGCACUGGAGAAUUAUGCUAAGGAAAGAAGCCAGUCGUAAAAGGCCACAUAUUAUGAUUCCAUUUAUACGAAAUGUCUAGGACAGGAGAAUCCCUGGAGACAGAAGGCAGGUUAAUGGAUGUCCACAGUUUGAGAGGCAGGACAAGUGUGUAGAUUCUGGGAGUGAUGGCUAAGGCGUGUGGGCUUUAUUUAGGGAAUGAAAAUAUUCUAGAAUUGAUUGUGGUGACGAUAGCACAACAUUGUGAAUAUGCUAUGCUAAACACCACCGAAUUGUAUGCUUACAAAUGGUGAAGUUUGUCAAGUGAAUUGUAUCUCAGUCAUUUUUUAAACAUUAAAAAAGAAAUCAGAUAACAUGCCUGAGCUGACACACUAGUUAUUACUUUCCUCUACGAAUAAAAUGGGAUUGGAGUUUGCUUGUUCACUUUUUUUUCUCUUUCCUUUUAUCCCCUCCCUGCGCACCAUGCUCUUCUCCAAAGCUGCUGCAGUAAACCCAGCACUUGCAGGAUGGGGGUGUGAUCUCACCAGAGUAAUUAACAUUGACUUCCUAAUGCUGAGACCAAGGCUGUGUGGCAGGCAGGGUUCUUAGCUGCAAACCAGAGCAUGAAACUGGCUGAGUUAGCAGAAAUGGAAUUUACCAAAAAGAUGGUUCAGAGCUUAGAGAAUUGCUGAGAAGGUGGAAAGCUGAAGCACAGAAAAUGCAGGGAGAGUUUGGAAAAAAAAUCUCAACACUCAUAUGAUCGUCAAAGGUUGUUUUUAGCCUAGAUUCCAAAGGUUAAAGCAACUGGCUUUUUAAUCAUUAAACAGGCUGGGUGCAGUAGCUCACACCUGUAAUCCUAGCACUUUGGGAGGCUGAGGUGGGGUAAUCACUUGAGACCAGGAAUUCAAGACCUACCUGGUGAAGCCCCCAUAUCUACCACAAAUACAAAAAUUAGCCAGGCAUGGUGGUGUGUGCCUGUAAUCCCGGCUACUCGGGAGACUGAGGUGGGAGGAUCGCUUGAGCCCGGUAGGCAAAGGUUGCAGUGAGCCAAGAUCAUGACAUUGCACUCCAGCCUGGGCUACAGAGUGAGACACUGUCUGAUCUCAGUAACCUCCACCUCCCGGGUUCAAGCGAUUCUCCUUGCCUCAGCCUCCCAAGUAACUGGGAUUACAGGCACCCGCCACCACACCCGGCGAAUUUUUGUAUUUUUAAUAGACAUGGGGUUUCACCAUGUUGACCAGGCUAGUCUUGAACUCCUGACCUAAAGUGAGCCUCCCGUCUCGGCCUCCCAAAAUGCUGGGAUUACAGGUGUGAGCCAUUGUGCCUGGCCCAGAGACAACUUUUUAUUAUCUAUUCUCCCUGGAAGAAGAGGAUAUAAGGAGUUUGGGAGAAAUUACAUGGAAGGAAAAAAUGUAACAACCAUCAUCAGACUAGGGAAACUCAGCAGAAUAACAUUACCAUUUCAUUCUACAGCAAACAUCACCCUAACACACGAUUAUUUUUGCAGUUAAGAUGCACCCCUGAGGCCGGGCGCGGUGGCUCAACGUAGUCCCAGCUACUCGGGAGGCAGGAGAAUGGCGUGAGCCCGGGAGGCGGAGCUUGCAGUGAGCCGAGAUCGUGCCACUGCACUCCAGCCUGGGCGACAGAGCGAGACUCCAUCUCAAAAAAAAAAAAAAAAAAAGAAAGAUACACUCCUGGGUCGGGCGCGGUGGCUCACGCCUGUAAUCCCAGCACUUUGGGAGGCCGAGGCGGGCAGAUCACGAGGUCAGGAGAUGGAGACCAUCCUGGCUAACGCGGUGAAACCAUCUCUACUAAAAAUACAAAAAGGAAAAAAAAAAUUAGCCGGGCGUGGUGGUAGUCGCCUAUAGUUCCAGCUACUCAGGAGGCUGAGGCAGGAGAAUGGCAUGAACCCGGGAGGCGGAGCUUGCAGUGAGCUGAGAUCGUGCCAUUGCACUCCAGCCUGGGCGACAGAGCGAGAC
rnacentral:lncRNA from 1 species